rnacentral:rRNA from 1 species
UACGGAGGGUGCGAGCGUUAAUCGGAAUGAUUGGGCGUAAAGGGCGCGCAGGCGGGUUUUUAAGUGAGGUGUGAAAUCCCCGGGCUUAACCUGGGAAUAGCAUUUCAGACUGGGAGUCUUGAGUACUUAAGGGGGGGGUAGAAUUCCACGUGUAGCGGUGAAAUGCGUAGAGAUGUGGAGGAAUACCGAAGGCGAAGGCAGCCCUGUGGGAAUGUACUGACGCUCAUGUGCGAAAGCGUGGGGAGCAAACAGG